rnacentral:rRNA from 1 species
CGUGUAGGCGGUUUCUUAAGUCUGAUGUGAAAGCCCCGGGCUCAACCCGGGAAGUGCAUUGGAUACUGGGAGACUUGAAUACGGGAGAGGGUAGUGGAAUUCCUAGUGUAGGAGUGAAAUCCGUAGAUAUUAGGAGGAACACCGGUGGCGAAGGCGGCUACCUGGACCGAUAUUGACGCUGAGACGCGAAAGCGUGGGGAGCAAACAGGAUUAGAUACCCUGGUAGUCCACGCCGUAAACGAUGAGAACUAGGUGUUGCGGGUAUUGACCCCUGCAGUGCCGCAGCUAACGCAUUAAGUUCUCCGCCUGGGAAGUACGGUCGCAAGACUAAAA